CCUACGGUGGGCAGCAGUGGGGAAUCUUGCACAAUGGGGGAAACCCUGAUGCAGCGACGCCGCGUGAAGGAAGAAGUAUUUCGGUAUGUAAACUUCUAUCAGCAGGGAAGAAAGAAAUGACGGUACCUGACUAAGAAGCCCCGGCUAACUACGUGCCAGCAGCCGCGUUAAUACGUAGGGGGCAAGCGUUAUCCGGAUUUACUGGGUGUAAAGGGAGCGUAGACGGUUACGCAAGUCUGGAGUGAAAGGCGGGGGCCCAACCCCCGGACUGCUUUGGAAACUGUAUAACUGGAGUGCAGGAGAGGUAAGUGGAAUUACUAGUGUAGCGGUGAAAUGCGUAGAUAUUAGGAGGAACACCAGUGGCGAAGGCGGCUUACUGGACUGUAACUGACGUUGAGGCUCGAAAGCGUGGGGAGCAAACAGGAUUAGAUACCCGUGUAGUC
rnacentral:rRNA from 1 species